GAUGAAAUGUACAUAAGAGAACAAAGAAAUGUGUCUUCUGGGAAACAUGUAGGUUGUUAAUAGAAGAUCAAAAUUAUAGAAAAUGGUUAAGCUUCUACAGGAAAGCAGUGUUUUAUGUUGAUAGGGGACACAGAGAAACUUGGAGGUUUUUGUGAGCUUUUUUUCCCCUUUGAAUGGAUCUUAACUUCCUCUGCUUACUUUCCUUUAUCGCCCCUUCACUGUCCCAACUGGCAGAAUCCAGUUAGAUGUCAAUCUGGAGGUGGAAGGAGAUUUGGAAGACAUUCAGGAAACUGGAUACAGAAGAACAACUAGGAAAGGGAUAAGACUGUAGAUAUUUGAAUGUUCAACAUUCUCCAUAAGGAUGAGAAAGGCUCCAGAUAAUGGAUGGAGGGCAAUGAGAAGAGGUGUGUGAACUUUCUGUCAUGAAGGGCAAUUUGCAGGAACUAAUCAUCUUACGAUAGUUGGUCAUAAGAAAGAAAUCCAUCAACUGAGCAUCCUGCAUAAGUAUUUAUAUUCAUGAACAUUUCUUGACUCUAAAGAAAGAUUUCUUAAAGAGCUCUCCUUGGAAUGUUACUGGUGUUAUGAAGGGAAAAAAACAGAGGAGGGGGGAUGUAAAGAAAGGCUGAACACAUUUUUUACUGUAGAAAUUUCUAGUAUUUUAAAAUAUUUUUCCUGCACUAUAAAUAUUCAAGUCUUCAUCAUUUCCCAGACUUACUUGACCACAAAGCAAGUAUAUUGUGGGACUGGUUGGGAGAUACAAUAAUUCAAGGCAUUUUAUGCAGAGUCCAGCUACACUUUCUUUGGCAUCCAUAUUAAAGUCCAUGACUAGAGCCACUGAGUCAUUUUCUACCACUCCUGGGGAAAUGUUACAGUUGACACUUUUUACCCCUAAAGGGAGGGUUUCAAGGUAUGGGAAGAUGUCUAUUUCCAAUGCUUCUCAGGAUUAUCUGCCCUGGGAAGGGUCACCUGAGAAAGAGCUGUCUGUUUGUACACCUCCUAGUGAGGAGGAGUUGGUCUCCUUCUCCAGUCAAAAUCUGUGGGCCUAUCUUGCAAAGGAGAACCUUCUUUGGGUAUGAAAAGGCGGAAAUGUCCUAGACAAAACUAAUUGGGAUGAGUGAUAAUGGGUUUUUCACUAAAAAAAUAUCAGUUACUCAAGAUGCAGGAGGCAGUGAGGGCUGUAAGGGUAGACAAAGAUGAUAAGCAGUCAACAUUUAGGAGUUGUGGAUUUCAAAGAUGUUCUUCCUAGUUGUGGGUAUAGACCUUUUUGGAAGCUUGCUGCAAGCUCUUUUCAUCUCCAAGGCUCCUGUCAUCCAACUGUGCAAAAUGUGAUGUUGGCUUCAUUAUGAGAUUUACAGUUAUUUUCUCUUGUGUGUGUGCUUAUUUGUCUGUUUUCUGGCUCUUUGUGAGGUUACUAACCAUUCUGUAGCCCGUAAAACCUGGUAUACCACUUACAUGUGGUGUUUGCUGUGGUUAGAUUGAGUUUGUCCUACUUAAGAGGACUAUGUUAAUUCAAGGUGGUCUCACAAUUGUGAGUCAAUGAGCCCUUGAAAGGAUGGUUAUAUGAAAUCUAGUGUGGGAAAGAAAGGAUCUGUCUCAUUUGUGACACUCACUGUUCUCUUUUGAAUGAAUUUUAGAAGUUAUCUGAGCAACAGUGUUCCUGAGAUAAUGAAAAAAGAUCUUAAUGGCCUCAAGCAGCAGUGAAGUUGAAUUUUCCUAUUCAUAUAAAGUUAAAUAUAGAUACACAUUUGAGCUUCACCUCAUUUUCCAACUUGUUUUCCUUGUAGUUUAAGUCAUGAUCGCUGUAGAGUUCUAUCUUGUGCUACUGUACUCUUCAUAGCAACAACAAUAAUUGCAAUAAAGGGAUUUUUCAAAUUUGCGUGGAGAAAUAUGAUUAUAUAAUCUGAUAGAUUUCUUCUAUAAAAAGAGUUACUCAGCUUUUUGAAGCAGAACUAUAUCCGAUUCCUGUUUAUAAUGGAAUUUGUUCUAAUAUCUUACUUGAAGAUUUCACUAAGAACAAAACUCUUCAAAGCAGCCUUACAAAUAGAAUUUAAAAUGUUACCUGGCUCCCUGUUCGUGGAGACACACUAGACUUCUGAUUCAGCAGUUGUCAGAUUACCUCAAUACAGUGUUUAUUAACUCUAUUCUUUCCUAGGUGGGUGACCUUUGACUAGUUAUUUAAAUUUCCAAAAUUAUUUCCUUAUUGGUCAAGCCAAUAUAAAAUGUUGCUUUCUUUAUUUGUUCUCCUUAGGGUUAUGGGAUUAAAUGAGAUAGUAAAUUCAUGGCCUAGAAUAGAAGAAGCAGUCAAUAAAUAUUAGGUAUUGUUGUUGUGGGCUAAUGAUGUAGUUGUUGUUACUGCUGAAGGCAGGGAUUCUAUUUAAUCUCAGUUCCUUGGAACCUAGAUUUAGCUCAGUUAUUAGGCUUAAUGUUUAUUAAGGAAAUAAAAUAAAUGUGAUCACUAUGAUAUUCUAAUAUCAGAGGUUUUUCAGCCACUCAGAUGACUUAAGAAAAAAAAUAAUUAAUAUAUUUUAUUUUUUUAAGAGCAGUUUUAGGUUUACAGAAAAACUGAGCAGAAAGCACAAGGAAUUCCCAUAUGCAUUUUCUCCCUCCACCUUAGUUUUCACCUUUUGUUGUCACUAUUAUUUAUAUCUUGUACUGGUAUGCUACAUUUGUUACAACUGAUGAACCACUGUUGAUCACUAUUCCUAACAAGUCCAUAAUUUACAUUAAUUAGGGUUCACUCUUUGUGUUGUACAUUAGGGGAGUUUUGGGAAAUGCAUAAUGCCAUGGAUCCACCAUGAGAAUAUCACAGAGAAUCAUUUCACAGCCCUGAACAUCCCCUUGCUCCACCUAUUCAUCCCCCGUCCCUCCCUCCCUUCCUCCAAUCCCUGAUAUUUUUCCUGUCCUUACAGUUUUGCCUUUUCCAGAAUGACAUACAGUUGAAAUCAUACAGUGUAGCUUUUUCAAACUGACUUCUUUCACUUAGUGAUACGUAUUUCAGAUUUCUCCUUGUCUUCUCAAACAAAGAUACAUUUUUACUUAUACAUUUUUACUUUACUCAUAAUUCUGAGUUGGGAAAUAUGUUUGGCUGGUGUCACUCUACUUGGUAGAUGUCUGCUCACUGAAGGAUUAUUUCCUGUGUUGAAACUUCUAUUCUUACCCUCAUCAUUUAUCCACUUAACUGAAAGUAGGUGUAUUCAAAGGGGAAUUUUACAUUAUAAGGAGGGGUUAAAAAUAACAAUAAAUAUUCAUAAUAAAAAAUAAAAUACAAGAAUAAAUACAUCUCUUUCUCUUCCAAAUCAGUAAGCCCCUCAUUUCCUAAUGGGAGCCUUCAUGGCCCUGCAGGCUGCUAUAGACUUCUCAGUUUGUCUAAAUUUGACCUGGAGGACCAUUUACAUUAAACUGGCUGAGAGUUCAUUUAUUUUCUCCAUACCCUAAAUGUUCUCAGAUGACCUUACUAUUGUUCAUUCUUAGUCUCUGCUCUAAGGCCAGGCAAUAGAAAAUAAUCAUUCACCAUAAUUUUUUAAAAUCCCUUUUACUCAUCUGUUUCCCUGAAUCAAUCCCCACAUGACCUCCCACAAUCCUUUAUUCAGUUAGAGGGAAAAGGCGGGGACAGGACAGGUAUGGAUACCUUCACACGGAUACCUUAUACGACCAGGCCUCUUCCAAAUUUCAUUUCCUUAAUAAUUUCAUGUUCAGCCUGUUCCAUCGAAUAUUCUGAGAUGUAGUUUCUUGUGCAGUCCUUCAGUAUCUUCUUACUUUCUUAAUGUUUACACCUUUCAAGCACUUAUAAACAGUAUGUCUCUCCACUGCUCUAAAUUUAGAAAAUGCAUAAAUAUAUUUCUUUGACUCCUUCAGUGGCUUUUCUGGGCACUUGAACUUUUCUUAUGGCUUUUUGUGAGGGGAGAUGGGAAAGAGUAGGUUUUUCACUAGGCCUCCUGAAGCUGGGUCAUUUAGAUUUCUAUAAAAGGACUGUCAUUCAAAACAAGAGAGACACCUAACUCUGGGAAACA